CUCACACAACAGAUUUUAUCCUUAGACGAACAAAUAAGAAUCUUUAUGGAGACUUGAAGCGAGGGAUGCACAAUUUAAUCAAAAUAUUAUCAAAAUUGCAAUUUUCAAAUCGCAGAAAUUGCAUUUUAAAUGGAAUAUCGUGGUGCUGCAGAGACGUCCUGACCUACACGUCAUAUUUCUUUUCAAAAACUUACUUGAAACUCUCAAAGUUGAACCUGUUUAAACAGAAAACAUCCCAAAAAACUACAAACUUUUUGUGUUUUCAGCAUCCGAAGUCUAAAUUGCACGUUCACACCAAGCGUGAGUCGAACAUUUUGCUCACAAAGUCAAUGCAAAAAGAAGAAUAGACGCAAAUUUGCGACGGUUACUACUUUUAAUUUGCACCAUCUAGUCAUGCUGACAUUAGAAUGUCAUAACGUGUGUCAUGAAUAUACUGGAUGGAAUGAACUGGAUAGCUAACGUUGGCUAACUGUUAACAGGUUUCCUUUGUAAACGAGCCUCUCAUGCAGAGCGCUGACGAGUUUAACAUGAUGCGGCGUAUCCGUAAAUAAAGACAAUGACUGUCGGAGGAGAUUUAAAGUUUAGAUUCAGCGUCUUUCUUUAGUUCUUCUAGUCUCUCAACCAUCAAACACAACGGUGAGGAGAGGUCUGGUCGUGGUGCAACUGAGCUGAAAUAUUCAGAACAAUAUUCAACGCAUUUUGCGAUAAAAGCAACACAUUUGGCACAGAUGUAGGUUUAUGUGUUAUGAAAAGAUUUAGAUAUCGGGGCGCUAAAUACAGUAAGCGCUAAAUAUUCAAAGAUGUUGCAGAAAACUGAUUUUAAUAUUCUUGAUUUUUUGUUUUUGACCGGUAGCCAACCGUCGUUAACCGAUUUAUUAACCGACAAGAUUAGUGCCUUCAUACAACCUCCGGAAGCUCCAUGGCGUUAAAGGAAUUAGUGGUGUUAACUUUGACAGCCCUAGAUCUUAUUGAUCUUAUCGAUCUGUAUUAAGGCCAUUUCCUGUAUAGAAGCAUGUCAGCGCAGGUAUUUUCCCUGAUUAACGGGUCAAAAGCUGUUCCAACUGCUGCGCUUGUAUAACAUAUAAACCUACAUCUGUGCCAGAUGUGUCGCUUUUAUGGCAUUGUUAUGCUUUAACUGCUCCGCUGUCGUCGUUUUUACAUAUUUUAAUGCAGACAUAUUAUACCUUUUAAAGCAGCACAAUAAUCAGCAUUCAUCAUCGUUCCAGUCAACCAGGCUUUCAGUUAUCGUACUGAAUUAGUUGCAGUAAACGUGAUGGAUUCAGUCCAUAACACAUCUCGUCAAGCAAAGUGCACUGUGUGAAUAUAAAAGAGGGACUAUUGUUAUUUAAAGGGACUUAACGGGAGCAGUUUAACCAGUUUAACCAGUUUAAACCAGUUUAACCAGGUGUAGUAAUCCACACCUGGCUGUGAAUUAUCAGCACUGCUGGGAGUGACCUGAGAGUGACUCUGCAGGUUAUAUAGAAACGUUUAUUUAUUAAGAAUAAUUCAUAAUUGUUUACAUCUGAUGACGUCAUCUCAAUGUUCUUCUUCUUUGGUUUCACUUUCAUCGUCUUUUUAUCAGAAGAAAAGAGAAACUUUAUGCAUAUCUGGAGUUGCUUAGCAGCUUGUUUGGGUUUGUUGGUAGCAGCGUAGCGGUCAUGUUCCAGUCCCUGUGUGUGUGUGUGUGUGUGUGUGUGCAUGUGUGUGUGCGUGCAUGUGUGUGUGUGUGCGUGGUGGAGGAUGUUGGAUAAGAAGGAAAAUCCCGUCAGAGACUCGGAGGACUCGUCUGUGUGUUCAGGACUGGAUGGGAGAGAGACUGCAUGGUGUGUGUGUGUGUGUGUGUGUGUGUGUAUUGUAUGUAAAUAGUGUUGAUUUUGUACGGUACAAGUGUGUGUGACUUGUUUUGUACACAUGAUAAAAAGAUUAAAUGACACUUUUAUAAGAGCCUGCUAUUGGCUCACCGUCACACUAUACAGUGCAAUAAAGUGCUUUGAUUGGCUAAAACUCA